rnacentral:lncRNA from 1 species
UCAUCUUGUACUUUUUAAUUCUAAUUUUAAUAUUUUGGACCUGAAGCAAUGGAUGAAUUAAAAUCCUUAAUUGAUUACCCACUAUCAACACUGAAAUGCAUACAGCACUAUUUAUUUAAUAAUAUAAUAAGUAUCUACAAGACUGACACUGAACUCAAAAACUAAUUCAUUAACAACUUAAAUCUACCUAUGUUUUCCUUCUCCAUAAUAUUUCCUUGCAUUCCUACUGGAGGAAAUCACUAUCUUGUUUUUAUGUUUAUUAUUUCCACUAUUUAAAAAAUUAUAUAUGGCUUUGACACACAUAUAUUUUUCCUAUAUAUUUAAACAUUGCUUUUAGAUUAAAAAUAAAGGGAGGCCGGCCCUGUGGCCAAGUGGUUAAGUUUGUGCGUUCCACUUCAGCGGGCAGGGGUUUCACGGGUUCGGAUCCUGGGCGCGGAUACGGCACUGCUGCUCAUCAAGCUGUGCUGAAGCAGCAUCCCCUAUAGCACAAACGGAAGUAUCUACAACUAGAAUAUAUAACCAUGCACUGGGGGGCUUUGGGGAAAAGAAGAAGAGACAGAAAAACAAAAAGAAGAUUGGCAACAGAUGUUAGCUCAGGUGACAAUCUUAAAAAAAAAAAGAAAAAAAGGGUCAUGCUAUAUGUAGUAUUCUAGGACUAAAUAUUAUAGACUUGGAUUUAAAAAUGUUUAAUAUCUACUAACGUAGGGAAACUUGAAUUACAUAAAAAUUUGAACAUGUUUGUGUAAAACGUAAUCCCAAAGGGAGGCAUAUGUUGCCCAAGUAAAAGUUUGUCUAAUUCACAGGCUAUCUUGGGCUGAGGGUCCCUGUUUAGUUUUAUAACAAUUAGCAGUAUCAUCAUUAUUAUCAUCAUUGUAGCAGCUCAUUUUCGUGGGCACCAACUAAAUCCCAAGCUUUGUGUUAAGAUGACUCACUUGCCAUUUUAUUUGAUUCCUCCAUCUUAUCAGGAAAGGAUAAUAUUUCUUUCUGUUUUAUAGAUAUAAAAAGUAUACUUGGCGACAGUAAGUAAGUUUCCCAAAGCCAUACAACCAGCAAAUGGAGGAUCCAGGAUUCAAACCUGGGCAGUCGGAACAAGAGCUGGUUCUCACAGGACAAAUAAACACACAACAGAUUUCAGAGCCCACUUUGAGGCGCUUCUUGUUUCCUACUCAUAAAUGAGAAUGACUUGCCAAAGAAACCAUCCAAGUAAAGUGAAGCGAAGAACCAACUGUCCUUUGGUUUGAGAGAGGUGGCAGAGCAGAGAAGAUGCUAGACUGAGACUCCCAAGUCCUCCAUUCUGGUCCCAAGUCACUAAUCCACCUUAGGACUUUAGGCAAGUAAUUUAACUCUUGAAACACAGUUCCUAUAUGCCUAAAAUGUCUGUCCUGCUCACUUUUAGUGGGUAGUUAUUGGGUUCAAUUGACAGGAUGUAUGGGAAAGUCUGUUAUGAAAUAUAAAGCUCUCUACAAAUAUUAGAUGAAGAGGGGAUUGGGAGAUAAAUUAUUUAUGUUGAGAAUGGAGCUCUUUAUUUAAAGUAAGGGAAGAUGUUUUGUGACCUUUCCCAGGCACCUUCUUUUCCAUCCAUUCUAGUUUUCAUUCUCUUGCCUUGUGAUUUUUUACCUUUUAUUCCUACCAAUGGAUAAUUAAGGGAUUUUCUUUUGAGGGAGGGGAGAGUUCUGAGAAUAUUAACAAAGGAAGGGAGGAACUCAGGCCUUCACUGAUAUAAUUGAUUCAGAUCAGGAUGUGGGCUGAAAGGGUGUGUAAACUCAUUCCCCAGUCAGCAUAUUUAGUGAUUUUAGCAAAAAGUAAAGACACCUGAAAUUCAGAAUGCAUUUCUAGACCCUCACUGCCUAUGGAGGUUUCCAGCUGUCGUCAAAUCGUAUCAUGCGGUGGUUGGAAUUUCAAGUGCUUUUCUGGAACCUCCCACCUUGAAAACUCUGGGCAGCCUCUUCUUGGCACCACAUCAGAGUAAUUUGUAUAUGCUGAUCUCCUGGUGCCUGGGGAGUGAAUGAUGAAAUAUUCAUGCUGGUGACCAUUCAUUUUCCCUCCAGUAAAAGCCUCUGCUAUCAUGCUCUUGAAAGUAGUUAUGAAAUUUGCCUGCUGCUAAAUAUGCCUCUGCUUUUGUGAAAAAACCCAAAUAGAGUUCACAAAAUCAGGUUUCCAGUUUGAACAAGAUGCUUGGAGUGGAUCCUAGAUGAAGUUAUGAGAGUCUUUCCUGAGACCCUCUUUUGUUGUUUUCAAUCCUCCACCCGAGAAUUUGCUUGGCUUUCUGUUCCCGGAGCUUCAUUGUGGUUGGAAAUGUGUCCUUGUCUCAAAGGUUAAUAAGUUUGCCAACCUAAGUGCAAUGCAGAUAUUUUAUAUCUCACUUCCUAACAUCAUAGAUUAUACUGUAACAUCAUAAGUUUGACAUAACUUUGGAUGUCACUGAGGAAUGACAGUUUAGAACUUCUGAAUUAUCCCAGAGGUGGCUCUCAUUUCAAAUUACAAGACCAAAGUUGCAAAAAUCAAAAUUUGACAAGAGGCUGGGCCAAGUAUCCACUGACCCAGAGAGGUGUAGCCCUUCUCACCCAGGGAACACACUUGCUACCAUAGUUAGAUGAUUGGAUGGUUGGUUGGAUGGAUGGACAAGUGGAUGGAUAUUUUCGACAUUUGGUGAUGCUCUAAAUGGAAUCUUUUCAAAUUUCUUGUCAAAGUGUAGCAUAUUCACAGAUUUUACUCACAGUAGGAUGCUGCCACAGCAUGGUGUGAUGAGUCAUGUGUGGGUCUGUGCCUGGGAUCUGAAUCCAUGAACCCUGGGCCACUGAAGUGGAGCAUGCGAACUUAACCACUAUGCCACCUGGCCGGCCCCAGGACAUACGUAAUUUUGAUGUGUGGGUGCGCUUCACGGAAGGACAUGAAUUGUUAAGUGCCGUACGCGGCUCCAAGCCACAGGGGCAGUGUAAUGCAGACUGAGGCUCUCAGGACUGGCUUCCUGGGGCUGCAUGUGUGGUGCUUCAAAGAUGCAGGGGAGGAAGAACGGGGUCACCAUAUUUAAACACCCCAAGUAUAAACAACAAUGCUCACCACCAUUCCCAUUAUUCAGUGAAGACUAUUAAUAAACAUUCAAGUUAUAGAAACUAAUAUACAAGCAGAAUUGAGCAAAUUAGGUAGGCAAAUGGGAAAACUGGACUUCUUUCUCCAAUUAACCACCAAAUGUUGGAUAUUAUCUUGAUAUAAAUAGACUACAUAUCCAGCCUUCAGAAUUAAGACUUUCUUUCUUUCUUUUUUCCUGUGCAUCUAUCUAGAUAACUUUAAAGAUUAUUGUUGCUAAUUCCCCAUAUUCUUUUUGCUUAUAGCCUUUUAGAAUACCUAAUCAGAACUCAUAGUGGUCCCUUGGUAAAUAAAAGUGAGGCAUAUUGGAAUUGUUAAAAAGAAUUACUGGUCUUGGUUCUAACAAAUGUAAGAUGAUCAGAAAUUACUGAAGGUGCAUCAUAUUUUGUGUGUCACGUAAGAUAUAUUAUUUUGGAAAAGACAGACAUCAGAUGCCCCCUCCCUCCUCAUCCUGCCCUCAGCCCCCACGACCACACAGGUGCUAUACAGGUAGAAGGAAAGGUUCCUGUGAUCUAUAUAAAGUAGGUGAAAAUGUAUUCCUUUGAGAUGAGCUUGAAGUAUUACAUUGACCUUUCUCCUGAUAAGUCCCUUGGCUUCACAGGUGUAGCAUUUCUCUCUUGAUACUACACACUGACAUUUUAACAAUUACAAUGGGACUUCCCUGAACUGGGAAUAUUGUGAGUGCUACAAUUCUUAGGAUCUUGUCACCCUUCACCACCCUGGAGAGGGGGAGAGAGAUUCUCUAUUCCGUUAUUAACAAUUUUUCAUAGUGGGUGGAGAUCCUAAUGUGAUUGGUAAGCUUGAUGUAUUCAUGGGGCCACAUUUUACCAGUGGGUCAGGUCAGGUCUCAGAGUUGGAGUCAGCUUUGAGGACAUCAAUUUAGGAUAGAGGAAAGUCUGAUUUAGCUUUGCAAGCCUAAGUUUAACUCUACAGCAACACAUUCUAAUGAACACCCACAGGCCGUGGGCAGGGGCUGUUCAUUGUGUAUUUGCUCAGUCAUUAAGAAACUAGUUAUUGUUCUAGUGUUUAUCACCCCUUCAGCAGAAUCAGGGAAGGGAGGAGGUGUGACUGGCAGGGGUGAUAAACUAAAAUCGCCAUAGCAAAGUAGAGAAGGGUUUUGGACUAUUAUGAAUCCUUAUUUCCUUGAAGCGUGAUGGCGAUAAUGCUUUGUCAACCCUUGUGAUGCCAGCAGGCAUUCUGAGUUCUAUAAAGUUUUCUAUGAUUCAGGAAGCCAGACUAAUUUCUGUCUUCACAAUGUUACCCCAUAACUACUGGGUUGGUUCUAUUUCUGGUAUUACAGACACUUGAAGAUAUAGACAGGAAUAGACUAAGACUCAAGUUCUGGAUACAUUUACAGUCUAUUUGGGGAAAGAAGACAAAAACAUAAAAUAAAUAGAAUACAAGGCAGCAUUCGUUAGCUUUCAGAUGAGUAGAAGAAAAAAAUGUGUUGUAACUGUUCAAAGGGGUGGGUGGCAUUUGUGGACUGGUGUGGGGAGGAAAAGUCUGAUCCACGGAAGACGGGCAAUAAUUGAUAGAAUUCAACUAGGCAACUAGCACACACCAUUGGCGGGAGUUUAAACUGGUACAGCCACUUAGGAAAGCGAUUUAGCAAAAUCUCUUAAAAUUGUUUAUGGGCACAAUUUUCCAUCCAGCAAUAGUUCUUGUUAGAGGCUACCCUGGGAAAUAUUCACACGCUCACACAAGGAGACAUGUCUGAGGAUGUUAACGGUAGCGGUGGAUAUAGCAGUGCACACUGGGAACAACCUAAGGGAAUAAGCUCACAUGUAGCCGCAUCACAGAAUCCUCUGUGGGUUUGAAAAACAAUCAGAUCACUCUACGUUAAAAACAUGGAAAAACAUCCAAGAAACGAUGUUAAAUAAACAAAGUCACAUGCAAUCUGAUCUUACUUAGGUUUAGAAAAACAUAAAAUAACAUGUAUGUAAAUGAAAAUACCUAGAAAAAGUAGGAGGAGACGCACUAAAUUGUUGGCAUUGGAUUCGUUUAGGUAAAGACCUCGGACUGGGCAUAAGUUUAAAUGGGAUAUAAGCUUUAGCUCAAUAUGUAUUUACAUUAUUCAGAUAGUUAAAUUUUUAUGAAACAAUUUUUUUUAUGAAGAGUUCAAAUAGACAGAAGGAGAAGCUAGGAAGAGCUUCUCUGGUGCAGGAAGCAGUAAGGUAUCUGAGAAAAUACGCAAAUGUGUGUCCACCCCCUCAAAUAAUCCUUAACUCCUUGUUGCCCACCCUUCCAGUCUAGCUCCUCUCAGGUUUUGCCGUCUAAAAGGCAAACGUGACUGAGUUACUCCCCUGCGUAAAAGGACAAAGAUCGAACUCAACAUGCCAUCCAAGGGCGUCAGGAAUCUGACCUUAUUCUCCUCUCCAGUUCAUUUCUCUCCCAUCGCUUUCCUGCAUCUUCAACUCCAGCUAAACCAAAUCACUUGCAGUUUUGUGCCUAUACCACACUAUCUGUACCUCCAUUAUUUGCCCAUGCCCCUGGAAAGAUGCUCUCUGCUUCUGCCACCUAGUAAUCCUCAAGGCUGUCAAGUCCCAUGUGAAGAUUUUCCUAAGAGCAUCACCUCUCUCACUGUGAAUUUCCAUCUCCUUCCUUUUUGCCUGCAUUUUAGGCUGCAGGCAAAAUACUUCUAUUACCUACAUCACUGUCUUGGACUUAUUUUUCAAUGCCCAAACUUUAAUAAACUUUGGUGGUUUAAAUUCUUUGAGUAGGGGCUACAUACGGCAGAAAUUCAUUCACUUACUCCCGCUUUCAUUUAAAAAACAAUUGAGUGCCUGUUACAUUCCAGGCAGUGUGCUAGGUGCUGGAGAAUGCAAAAUUGAGGAAAACAUGAUCACAUCCUCAAGAAUCUUAUAAUCUAGAGGUAAAGGAAGAAAUGAAUGGAGAGGUUAAAAGAAAAAUUAAGAUGAUGUUAUGCCAUGGGGAGGGGUACUUCGCAAAAGAGGACGUGGUGGACAUUUGAUGUUGCUUUGGCUGCCUACUUCCAUUCCUCCCAUUUCCUAAUAGUGCCUGAUUUUCCUACAGGAAGGACUUCACUAGAUUAUGUCUGGCUCGCCCCAGCCCAACAGAAGGCAAGUAUUCCAAGCAAGACCGGACACCCUGUUCACUCCUGCCAUUAUCAUCUUGAGUAGAGGUACACGAGGACAAAUGUUUUGGUCACUUCCAAGGCAACAGCAGCUCCAGACUGCGCCAGCCAAGUAGUUUCUGCAAGUGUUUCUUUUCCUGUCCUGCUUCCAGCCCCAGUCUCCUGCUUCUCUCCAUUCUGUGAGGUAUCAGGCAUCCAAUCAUAUUUCUCUUUUUGCUAUAAUUUCCCAGGGAGUUAGUUUCUGUCAUUUGUGAUCUGUAACUCUGAUACCCUGGGCAAGCAGUAGCCAAUGCCACAGAGUAGUCAAAGGUUCAAAGCCUGAAUAACAGCAUUUGGAUUCCAUAUAGAAGGUCUCAAUGCAAUUCAGGUUUGAAGUUGGGUCAUAGGUUGAUUACAGGGGUGCAGCCAGCGCUGCUCAUCCCACCAUGCCUGACUGUUCUUUCUCUUGUGGUUAGUUGCAUUUUUGAAGAUUUGGAUAAAGAAGGAGAUAAUGAAUUCCAAGGAAUUAAUUUCUCCAUAGGCUGAAUGGACCUAUUGGUAGCUGUCAAAGUCCACUAAUAUAUGAGUCAUUUUUAUAGAUAGGAACAACCUGGAGCCGGCAAGCUUGCUUUGUAAGCCUUUCUUAGGUGCUGAAUCUCUUCAGAAUUUGUCUUACCUGAGCAAGAGUUUUUUUUUUUUUUUUUCAAUUGGCUAGUUUAUUGACUUGGGCUUGUUUUGGGAACCAGUCAACGAUUAAUAUGGCUUUUAAAUGCCUCAGGAAUUCAAGGAGAUGGAAGAUGUCUGGGUCCCUGAUUGACUUCACGGAACAAACCUUUCCCCACUGCUCACUUCUGACAUAAGCAGAUGGCUUGAGUGAGCCAUCCAGUCUUACACUUUCCUUCUUUGCACUUGUACCUGAGGGCAGGACGGUGGCUGAGGCUCUAUAUAAGUUCAAGUUUAGUUAAGACAAAAACACCUGUAAAUUAAUCAUUUAGUUCCCUAUUAAGUGUUGAUUAUCAGUGAGAAUGGAGACACUUUGUUUUGCUAGGUGAGCUCCCUCCGAACUGCCUGUCUCAGAGGUGAUCCAUCAAAGUACUUCUCCUCUAGGAAACAUUGUCCAAUCCUACUUCCGACCAGGUAUGAUUUUUCCUCCCCCUCCUCUUGACCCUCCUGCCCUCCACUAAAUUGUCAAAGCACUUUUAUGGUGUUGAGGUUAAGUGCUCUGACUUUAGAGGCAGAGAGAACUGUGGUUCAAAUCUAUGGCUCUGCUGCCUCUGUGCUGUGUGACCUAGGGAAAAAUUCUUCACUUCUCUGAACCUCAUUUUUGUCCUCUACAAAUUUGGUAUAAUAACUAGCUCAUAGUGUUUACUUUGAAGACGAAAUAAGAAAACAGACGUUAAAGGAACAUAGUUGGCCAUGUAGCAAUUUAGUUAUUGAUGGUUGUUUUUGAUGAUUAUUAUUUAUGUAUUCAUUGUUGAUAAUAUUCGUUAACAAUCUCUUUCACAGCACUUACCAAAAUCUAUAAUAUUCUUGUUUAUUUGUUUUCUCCCCCAGGAGAACAUAAAAAGCUUUAUUCUUGUGUGUUUUGUUCAUCAUUGUAUCCCAAGUAUACAAAACAAAGUAGGGCAAAUAUUUGUAAGAUAAGCUUUUGCAAGUGCUGUUAUUCUAUUAUUCUGCCUCAUGUUAUUGCUGUUCUAGACCACGAGGCCGACAUUAUUCAUGCACGCAUGCUGAGAACCUAGCACAGUGUUUGGAAGAGCGUAGACACGCAGCAUCUAUUAUUAAAUGAAUGAAGAAACUAAAGCUGCAUCUGUCCCAAUUAUCCUUCUAAUUAGAAACUUUCUUCAUGACAGACACUGUGGCUUAUCUUUGUAUCCAUGGAACCUAAUAGGUGUCCAGUAAACAUUUGCUGAAUUUGUUCUGUGAAAAUUGAGAGGAGAGAUUUGUGACUUCAUUACAGAAUUGCAAUGAGCUGAGUUCAUUUCUGCCAGUUCUUCUAUGUUCUGUCUGCCUUGGUUUAUUUCUGGUCUCUAUUGUGGAACCUGGUGUGAGAAUCUAACAACAGGAAGACAAGAGGGAUUAAGAUUAACUCAAUAAGUACUGAAUGAUUGUUCCCAAUAAACCAACAAUAGUCCUUCCUAAUUCCUAUUCAGCCCCCACAACUGCAUCAUGGCAGGUGAGAGAAGUCAGUCACAUUCUGUCCCCGCUUCUUCAGCCGUCAUGAAUAUGCCAGUGAAAAACCAGUAGUGUCGAGGACAGACCAGAAGGCGUAGAUAACUCCCGUAAGAGGGGACCCGGAAGGAGGGGCUGGCUUUCACUGGGAGCGGUGGUGCUAUAAUAGGCUGAUUAUGUAAACACAUGAGUCUUGGGCCCUUUUAAACACCAGCUCAUUUAGCUGCUCUCUUUCCCACAAAAGACUGCUUUCUGUCACUGUGCAGGGUGGAAAGGAAGGGAGAAGUCUGACAUCAAAGGGAGCUGACUGCUCCUUUCAGCAUCCGGGACAAUUCCUCUGAUUGCUUUACCCACCAAAUGGCUCUCCCUUCACCAUCAAUGGGUAGGACCUGGCUAAUGCUCUCCGGUCAAGACAUUGCCCAGGAGUAACCAACAAUGUCCACUAGAAUGAGGAACAGUAAUUGCAAAAAUGAGCUGCCUGAAUUAAUAACCCAAUUAAUACUUAACUUGCAAUAACUAGUUAACUCUCACCCUCUCUUACUCCUUUGAACAGGCACCUUAGAGCAGGAUGACCUGAAUGACAUUGUAAUCCCAUUGAAUGAAAUUGUAAUCCCAAUUCUGCUAGGCUCCAGGAUCACUACAAAGGUCCCUUACUAGUUGUGUGACUUUGAAAAAGUCGCUAAACCUCUCUGGGUCUUAGCUGUAAAUAUAAUGUUAUACCUGCCUGAAGAUGCCAGGCUUGGCUUGGUCUUUUGAUGUCUCUUGCGCCUCUCACGUUGUCAUACCAUGAAAACACUCCGGAUAGUCCCAGUCUAGAGUAGUUGUGGGGGGUUAAAUGGGGACAUAUUGGUGAUAUUCUCAGUUGACCCCACUCUCCUUUCAAAAUUUUCCCCAAAAUGUUGGUUAUGUGGAGAUAUAAAGAAACAUCAUGUCAGAGCCACAUGCAGGUUGAUAAAAAGUAAAAAAUACAGAAGGGCUCUGAACAAGUCCUUGCAGCAGUGUCCUCUCAGGUGGGAACCAGAGAACCUAAAAGGUGCUUGAAUGACAAGUACAGGCACAUUUGUAGCAGUGUAAUCUUAACAGCCUGCAACUGGUGGUAACUCGUGUCCACCAAUGUAAGAAUGGAGUGAGAAAUUGUGAUGUAUUAACACAACGAGGUAAUGAAAGGAACAACAUGGAUCAAUCUUACAGACGUUGGGCUGUGUGAAAGGAAGACGGGGGGCGUUUUAGAUAUUGACUUGAAUAUUGACUUGGCUGUGGGGUUAUAGAAAUGUUCUGUAUCUUGGUCUGGUGGUAGGUAUUUGAGUGUUUUUAGGUAUAAAAAAUCACCAAGCUAUAUACUUAAGAUUUGUGCACUAAAUGUAUGUUACAUCCUCAUAAAAGUAUGUGUAUGUAUACAUACUGAUAAUUAUUCAGUAAUUUGGAAUAUAUAUGCACGUGUAUAUACAUAUAUAUGCAUACAUGUAUAUGUUUUCUUUUUCACAUGGAGGGAAAUAUAAAGAGGAAUAAAGUGGUCUCAACAAAUCCCACAGUAGUAUUACCAACAAGAAAGGGCAUUUGGAUUUAGAUGCUUAGAGGCUCGAUUACAUUUAUUGUUAUUAGGAAAUUAUUUCUGAGGAAGGCCAACCCCUACUAAAUUGCUAAUCAGUCUCUGACUAGUGCCCCUGAGGUGCACUAUGAGUCAAAUGAAAUUUAUUGUGACAGGAUCGAAUCGUAUUGACAUCUCAGUAGCGGUCUCUGUGCCUCAUCAGUUAGCACAGGAAAGAGUAUAGGAAAUAUCAAUCACAGAAGCUCAUUCAGAACCAUCUUUUAAAACGUGGAAUCUGUGUGCUAAAAACACAGCGAAGUUCAUUAAUUAGGAGGUGGUGGAUGCCUCUCUGUUUUUUUUUAAAUCAUAUGAUUUGAUUUAUCUUUUGACUCAUAAUUUAAGGCCACAAAAGAAAAUUAUUAUCAGCAACAAUUUUUUUCAAACUUUUAAAUGUAUGUAGAUCUAGAACUUUCCCGUCCUCAACUUUCUAAAGAAACACAGAAUGCUUUUUCUCAGGAGGAAUACUUUGUAGAAAUGCUAAGAAAACAACGUAUUUUUCCCAAUAAAGAGCCUUUUUGCCAUUCCUCAGGUUAGUGUUCAACUCAUUGUAUGUCCACAAAGAAAGGCACCACAAUUGCACUGAGGUUAUGGUGCGAGGAAAUAAAACUGUUUUUAAGGUAAUUCUUUGCUGUUCUUUGAUACGAAAAAACCUUCAGAGGGGAUUGAUCCCCAUCGUGUUUUACAAAUGAGGAAGCUGAAGCCAGAGAGGUAGUCACCUGCCCGAGGUCAUCCAGUUAGGGUGGUUCUCAAAGCACCCUUCCGGGACCAGCAGCCUCACUAUCACCCUGGAACGCGUUAGGAAUGCUAAUUCCCAGUCCCUACCCCAGACAUGCUGAGUCAGAAGCUCUGAGGAUGGGCCCAGCAAUCUACGGUUUAACAGGCCCUCCAGGUGGUUUGAAUACAGCUAAAAUUUGAGAACCGUUACCAGUUGUUAGAGGGGAAAAUAAAAGUUUAACAGCGAGAACCCACUUCUCUUCGCUGGAAGUCCUAUUUUUCCAUAACUCCUAGUGACAAAGCCAGAAAUAGAGCCCAGUAGGAAACGGAAACUUAUUCCCGACCACAACUUAGACAAUCUCAGAAAACUCUUAUUAUUUAUAUUGCAUUAAGGGGGCCUUUGGGGGAAGCUGGGCUCCCCACACUAGUAACAAUAGGAUUGUAGGCAAAAAGCGAAAUGAAUCAAUUUAGUGAAAUCUUUUUAGAUAUGGGAAGUGCACCUUAUUUUUAGUGAUUUUUGACUGGGGUACUCAAUAUUUACAAGGAUUCCUUAUAGAAUAUAUGUAGGCUCCUCUAGAGAUCUAAAAUGCUUAUUCCCAGUGCAAUUCAUGCUUCGCUGGUUUUGCUUUACCGGUGUGAUCUUUGGAAGCCUAUGGGCCAAACUCCUUGUCCUUUUCUUGGGUCUCUCCCAGAGCUCACAUAUGGAUGACAGGCAGGUGCCCAGAAUGAAUGGAAGACAAGCAGCAAUGUUCUUGAUAACUGGGAACCACAGGCCCAUCUAAAGGGGACAGUUCUUUCUCACUUCUGGCCAGUUGUUGCCGCAUUGGAAUACAGACUUAGCAUUGUCAAAUCUUCCAGCUUUUCAUAGGGACCAGAAAUCUGAUUUUUCGGGGGGAAAAUUCCAGGUUUUUAAAUGUUAGCAAUAAGUUCAUAUUUUUAGACACCAUGCAUGCCAAAUACAAUGUACGUGUGGGCCACAAUUCGUGACCUCUGCUAUAUAGUAUAUAACACACUGUGAGUGAGUGAUGGUCAGAUUUGGCCAGAGAGCACUCUCUACCUGGAGUUAAGGCAGGUAGUUGUUAACUUUGAGAGCAUAGCCUCAGUUUACUAAAACUUUCCACCAGAAAUGCCCUGGCCCUGGCGAACAUGCAGACGUUAUAGUGUGACCAUAUGUGGGUUUCAGGAUGGGUUAGACCUUGUCUUCCUCUGUGACCCUUACUCUAACUAGUCAACACCACUUUUUUGGGGUUUCUUCUUUUCUGAACUUUUCAUAUCACUCUUAGGCCAGUUUGAUGUUACUCUCUCUGACACCAUUUCUAACAUCAUCGUCACAAACACUUAAGGGAGUUGGAGUUGACAGGCGCAUUAGAAGUGCUCUGGGCCAGGUGCCUUACUUCCAUGUGAGGUGACACAGGUGAGAGUAAAUGCAAUGACCAGACUGGGAUCAACAACUAGUUAUGGCACAGCAGUAGGUGUGGAACCUGGGACCUGAGUCUAAUUCCUGGUUCUUUACAGCUGGUCAUGCAGUGCCAUCUGCUCUGAAGGGACUGUUGACCCUUCAGAGAUGCAGGAAGGGGGUCCAGAUUCGGAAGACCUCCAAGCCAUUUAGCGUCAAUUUCUGAUGCACACAGUGAAAAACAAUAACAAUCCAAUAACCCUACCCCCACUGAGGUGAUGGACUAAUAAGAAGAUAAUACUAGCUUUCCAAAAGGAAAUGCAUUAUUUAAAUUACCAUCAAUUUCCAGCUUAUUUAUUGUCUUCUAUGCCAUAAUUUUGUUCAGUGAAACACGAUAAAAUAGUAUAUAUUGGUAGACGCUGAAAUGUAGUAUCACCACAUUGUAAUACUUUUUCUGUGGGGAGAUUUUAGUUACUGUUCGUUUCCUGAUAGGUUCCUUCGUGGAGUAAGAGUAGUUGGUCUUACAUACUGCACUUUUUAAUAGUCAUUUUAUUAUUUUUAAUUUAAAAAUUAGCCUCUGAACUAUGAAAUCUAAUUUCUAAAAGGGAUAUAAAUUAUUAUCUACUUCAGUGUCUUCCAAACUUUCAGCUGGGGAAUCUAUUCUUCAAGUGAAAUGUUUUGAGGCUGCCCGAUACAUACACAGAGCUGAAGCAAUAGCGAGGGUUCCAGAGCCUCUCCCGCGACAACUUCCCCUAAUGUUCUUUCUUAGACAGUUUUGCUGCAUAAACCCCCACAAUCUUGGUAGCUUACACCAACAAGCAUUCGUUCUCAUGAGAUUCUGCUGAUCUAGGCCAGGCUUAGCCAGGUGACUCUCCUUCAGACUGUCAUCUGGGCUGGGCUUCAGGUUGUGGGUUGGACUCAGGUCUGCUCUUCCACAUGUCUCAUGUGUGUCCUGGGUUAAAGGGGCAGGCAAUACCAGGGAGAAGCUGUUCUUAUGGCAGAUUAUGAAGUUUAAGAGGGCAGGCUCUACGCCAGGCACGUUUCAAGCCUCUGAUCACAUCAUAUCGACUAGCGUCUCAUUGAUCAAAAUAAUUCCCAUGGCCAAGUCCGGACUCAAGGUGCAGGGAGGAGCACCCUACUCACCAUGAGAGUGCUGCAAAGGUGUGUAUACACAAUUCUAUUCCAGGAGAAUGGAGAAUUUGGACCAUAAAUUCAGUCAACCAUGUAUGUAAUCCUACCCCUUGGUGAUCUCUGAGUCAACUCUGUGUAACUCAUAAAACAACAUCAAGCAGUUCAAAAACCAUGCAUAGAGUCCAACCAUCUCAUUUUACAAAUGGGCAAAAUUGAGACUAGUGGUUCCUCAACGCCACACAGCUAGAGACAGGUCUUGAACGCUGAUGAACUGACUCAAAGUUCAGGACUUUCUCCACCACACUGUAAUAGCUCUACCUUCAAAAAAUGGCCGAGUCACUUGAAUUAAAUAGCAAUAUUGUAGAUAUAAUUUUGAAUAUACUGAGCUGUCUUAAUUUUGCUGGUUGGUCUAGAAGUCUAUUUAAUACAGAGACCAGAAGAUGGCCUGAGCACAGUGCAGGAAGUUGGGCCACAUUCCUCCAAGAUCUGGCAUUUAGUGACCCUGUAACCUUGCACACACUAUUUGCUUCUUUAAGCAUCUUUUCUAACAUUUGUCAAAUAGGAUAAUAAUGAUGCCCUCAGACAGUCGUUGUGAGAAUUAUCUGAUACUCAAUAAUUGUGAGGGUUUGUUUUUCCAUUUUUUAUGGUUUAUCAUUCAGUAACCAAGAGCUAUGCCUUCCUUUUCUUGUGCACUGUUAGGAAACUGAAAUAUUGUUUUUCAAGAGGAUAUCCUCCUUAUUGAAGACAUAAAUAUUACAGAAAGAAGGUUAAUCACUUCUCCAUGUAGAAAAGGGCAAAAAGGUCAGUCUCUUUGCCCAAUUCCCAAGGUUUUUCUAAUAUGGAAUUGCCUAAGAUACCAGCAAAAUUGAAAUAACUGCUUUGAAGUCGAAUUCCAGAUACAAUAUGUGUUUAGUAAUUCCUGUAACAGACAGCAAAAUUCAAAAGGCUUUAAUAAUUUAUUCUGAGUGGAAUGCUUAAAGGCCAUUUGGUCAGCAGGGUGCCUACUGGACAUGUAGCUGGUGUGCUUUCUCCAUUUUUUCUUGGUGGUCAGAUGGCAUGAUCAGAACCUCUGUGACAUGUUUGUCUUACUUAAAUCUUUUAUCACCUUGCAUUGCUCUUUUAUCUUGAAACUAGUACUUUUCCUGCCAUGAAAAUGUAUCUAUUUAUUAGUCUGUCAAAAUGUCUAUAAACAUUAGAUUGCUUUUGAAGAGCAAAUGCCUAAUUUGUGGAAAGAAAAUGUUUAAAAACGCUUCCCCCGUAACUUCUUUCUGUAAAAAUUUUGAUAAAUGUAAUUGUGUUCAUAGGGUAUAUUAACACCAACCAGGUGUAGUAACUUAAAUUAUCUGGUGAUUGAAAUAUUUUGUGAAAAUCACUCUAUUGGCUAAAAUAAAAGUCAUAAUGGAGAUUCCUAUAAAUGCAUUUCCUCAAAAUACAAAUAUAUGGCUCAAUAUUUUGCAAACAGUCAUGUAUCCCGGCUGUUUAUAGCAUCUGCUACCUUGAAUUAUGUAGUUCAAAUAUAGCUUCUCUUCCACCUGGGAAUUUCCAGAGAUCCUUUUUUCUUUCUUGAGCUCAAUAACAAAACUUCACAUAAUGUUGGGUAGAAGGCUAUCUAGAGAGUUAUUUGAGUAUAGAUAAUAUUUGUAACUAUACAGACACUCUGGCUCAUAGUCUGUGUUAUACUAAAAGAGGAGCUCUACUAAGAAAUUCGAGGAAAGGGGAAGAUUUGAAUCCAUUUUCAAUAUUGGUACUUUCUGCCCCACCAUAUUCACAUGUACUUCUCCAUUCAUUUAUUUGCUACCUUUCAUUGGCCCCACUGGAUCUAUUUAUCAGAAUAUUCUUCUUGGUGUUCCAUGACUAU